rnacentral:ncRNA from 1 species
AAAUAAAAAAUUUUAUGAUUUAAAGAAUUUAUUUUAAAGUUUAUUUUACAUAUAAAUUUUAGUGUUAUUUAUUAUUAUUUUAAAAAAAUUAAUAAUGUUUUUUUAUAGUAAUUAAUAUUAAAAAUUUAAGAAAUUAUGAUUUAGUAAUAUUAAAAUUAAUAACAAAUUUUGUGCCAGCAGUUGCGGUUAUACAAAAAUUAAAAUAAAUUUUAUUAGUAAUUAAUUAACAAUUUUUUUUAUAUUUUAAAUUUUAAAUUAUUAGGUGAAAUUUUAAUUUAAUUAAACUUUAUUUUAAAAUUUUGUGAUUUAAUAAAUUUUAAAAAAAACUAGGAUUAGAUACCCUAUUAUUAAAAUUUAAAUUUAAAAUACUAAAACAGUAAAUUAUAUUUGUUGAAAUUUAAAUAAUUUGGCGGUAUUUUAGUUUAUUUAGAGGAACCUGUUUAAUAAUUGAUAGUCCACGAAUAAAUUUACUUAAUUUUUAAUUUUGUAUAUCGUUGUUAAAAAAAUAUUUUUUAAUAAUAAUAAUAUUUUAAAAUUUUUAUUUAAAAUUAAAUCAAAUCAAGAUGCAGAUUAUAAUUAAGAAUAUAAUGGGUUACAAUAAUUUUUAUUUAAAUGAAUGUUAAUUUUAAUAAUUAAAUUGAAGGUGGAUUUAAAUGUAAUUUUAUUUAAAUAGAUAAAAUGAUUAAAAAUUAAAAUAUGUACAUAUUGCCCGUCGCUUUCAUAUAUUUAAAUAAGUUGGGAUAAGUCGUAACAAAGUAGGGAUACUGGAAAGUGUUUCUAGAAAGAU